AGAGUUUGAUCAUGGCUCAGAGUGAACGCUAGUAGUAGGCUUUACACAUGCGAGUUGAAUGCUUAUAGAGUAUAGCGAACGGGUGAGUAACACGCAAGAAGCUACCUUUAAAUUUGGGAUAAAAUACCAAAUAAUCAAAAAAAUUAUUUUGUUUAAAGAUGUGCUUGUGGAAGAUUAGAUUGUUGGUAGAGUAAUAGCCUACCAAGUCGUUGAUCUUUAGCUGAUUUGAAAGAAUGUACAGCCACACUGGGACUGAGACAAGGCCCAGGCUAUUUAGCCAGCAGUGGGGAAUCUUGGACAAUGAGCGAAAGCUUGAUCCAGCUAUACUACGUGAGGGAUGCGAAGAACGUCCUUACGUUCGUAAACCUCUUUUAUUAGGGAAGAUGAUGACGUACCUAAUUAAAAAGUUCUGACAAACAGCCGUGCCAGCAGUCGCGGUAAAACGGAGAGGGCAAGCGUUACUCGUUUUUAUUUGGUGUAAAGGGUUCGUAGGCGGCCUUUAGGUUGUUUAAACUGAAAACUUAGGGCUCAACUCUUUAAGAAUAGUUUAAAAACACUUAUGGCUUGAGUGUAAAAGAAGAAUAGGGAAUUUCAAAAGGAGGGAUAAAAUCCGAAGAUUUUUGAAGGAACACCAGUGGCGAAGGCGCUAUUCUAUUUUAAAAACUGACGCUGAGGGACGAAAGGGUAGGUAGCAAACAGGAUUAGAGACCCUGGUAGUCUACCCCGUAAACUAUGAAUGCUAACUUUUAGAAUUCGUUUUAGGAGCUAAGUUAACGCAAAAGCAUUCCACCUGAGAAGUAAGAUCGCAAGGUUAAAACUCAAAGGAAUUGACGGGGGCUUAUACAAGUGGUGGAGCAUGUGGUUUAAUGCGACAAUACGCGCGAAAUCUUACCAAUCUUUGUAUUUUAACAAAUCUUGUUAGAACAGGUGUUGCAUGGCUGUCGUCAGCUCGUGCCGUGAGGUGUUUGGUUAAGUCCUUUAACGAGCGCAACUUUCACCUUCAGUUGCUAAUUUUGAGUAAAGAACUCUGAAGGAAUUACGUAUGAUAGGUACGUGGAAGGGAAAUGACGUCAAGUCCUUAUGGCCCUUAUAGAUUGGGCUACACGCGUGCUACAAUGGCAAUUACAAUAAGAAGCGAUAAGGUAACUUUGAGCAAAACUUUUAAAAAUUGUCUUAGUUCGGAUUGUUGACUGAAACUCGUCGACAUGAAGUUGGAAUCACUAGUAAUCGCAAAUCAGAAUGUUGCGGUGAAUUUGUACCUUGGCCU
rnacentral:rRNA from 1 species